rnacentral:rRNA from 1 species
ACUCCUACGGGAGGCAGCAGUGGGGAAUAUUGCACAAUGGGGGAAACCCUGAUGCAGCCAUGCCGCGUGUGUGAAGAAGGCCUUCGGGUUGUAAAGCACUUUCAGUAGGGAGGAAGGUAGUGUAGUUAACACCUGCAUUAUUUGUACGUUACCUACAGAAGAAGCACCGGCUAACUCCGUGCCAGCAGCCGCGGUAAGUACGGAGGGUGCGAGCGUUAAUCGGAAUUACUGGGCGUAAAGCGCAUGCAGGCGGCCUGUUAAGUCAGAUGUGAAAGCCCGGGGCUUAACCUCGGAAUUGCAUUUGAAACUGGCAGGCUAGAGUCUUGUAGAGGGGUUAGAAUUUCAGGUGUAGCGGUGAAAUGCGUAGAGAUCUGAAGGAAUACCAGUGGCGAAGGCGGCCCCUGGAC